rnacentral:rRNA from 1 species
UGGUUACCUUGUUACGACUUAGUCCCAAUCGCCAGUCCCACCUUCGACGGCUCCCCCUCUUGCGAGUUGGGCCACCGGCUUCGGGUGUUACCGACUUUCGUGACUUGACGGGCGGUGUGUACAAGGCCCGGGAACGUAUUCACCGCAGCGUUGCUGAUCUGCGAUUACUAGCGACUCCGACUUCAUGGGGUCGAGUUGCAGACCCCAAUCCGAACUGAGACCGGCUUUUUGGGAUUCGCUCCACCUCGCGGUAUCGCAGCCCUUUGUACCGGCCAUUGUAGCAUGCGUGAAGCCCAAGACAUAAGGGGCAUGAUGAUUUGACGUCAUCCCCACCUUCCUCCGAGUUGACCCCGGCAGUCUCCUAUGAGUCCCCGGCAUGACCCGCUGGCAACAUAGGACGAGGGUUGCGCUCGUUGCGGGACUUAACCCAACAUCUCACGACACGAGCUGACGACAACCAUGCACCACCUGUACACCGACCUUGCGGGGCAACCAUCUCUGGAAGUUUCCGGUGUAUGUCAAGCCUUGGUAAGGUUCUUCGCGUUGCAUCGAAUUAAUCCGCAUGCUCCGCCGCUUGUGCGGGCCCCCGUCAAUUUCUUUGAGUUUUAGCCUUGCGGCCGUACUCCCCAGGCGGGGCACUUAAUGCGUUUGCUGCGGCACGGAACUCGUGGAAUGAGCCCCACACCUAGUGCCCAACGUUUACGGCAUGGACUACCAGGGUAUCUAAUCCUGUUCGCUCCCCAUGCUUUCGCUCCUCAGCGUCAGUUGCGGCCCAGAGACCUGCCUUCGCCAUCGGUGUUCCUCCUGAUAUCUGCGCAUUCCACCGCUACACCAGGAAUUCCAGUCUCCCCUACCGCACUCUAGUC